AGAAGCAACAUUUUUCCUUCAGGGCAUCACAGAGACCACCUUGUUGAAGGAGAAGUAGAUCUAAUCCCCUGCGGUUCUGAAGGACUACCUCACUAAGGACCACAGGGAGUCUGCAAGUUGGCUCAGCAGAGCGACUCUUUGGGAAGAACUGGACCUGCAGUCUGUGUGUUCUUUGGGUUGCUGGCCACUUUGGGAAGACACCUAGAGUCAACAGAAGUAGGAAAUGGAGAAAGUAGCCUUUGAGGAUGUGGCUGUGAACUUCACCUGAGGAGAGUGGACUUUGUUGAAUUCAAGUCAAAAGAAGCUCUACAGAGAUGUGAUGAAGGAGACAUUUUUGAACCUGAUCUCCAUAGAGAAAGCAAAUAGAAGAAAAUAGUGGAGAGGACUGCAAAGACCUCAGCAGAAACACACGGUAAUUGAUAUUCAAAAGAAAGGAAUUGCUCUCACAUAUUUGCAAAUCUUUGAACAAUUGCAAGCCUACCAAAAUCUCUAAACAAAAUUAACUGAAUAAUGAUCUCUAUGCAAAUUUCUGCAGUAGAGCAUUGAAUUGUGCCAUUCAAUAUUUGAGUGUCUCGUGUUUGUAAUGCAUUAAGAACACAUGUGUCAUGUAAUAUUAGCCUCUGAAAGAGCUUUACCAGUGGUUUAUUACACACAAACUUCAAAAGUAUUUGCCCUCUUUCUAUACAUUACUUUGAGGUUUUGUUUUGUUUUGUUUUUUGUUUUUGUUUUUGUUUUUUUGCUUUCAUUUGCUAUGACCAAAAAAAACAAAACAAAAAACAAGUCUGGGGUGGAGCUCACUUUUCCUUACACAUCCUUGUUUCAUUCCCAUCAUAAAGGGAAGUCAGGGCAGGAAUUCAAGCCGGUCAAGAACCUGUAAGCAGGAACUGAAGCAGAGGUGAUGGAGAAUUGCUGUUUUCCAGGGUGCUUCUCAUCCCUUAUUGAGAUAACCGCCUUAUACAGCCCUUGCCCACCUGUCUAUGUGGGUACUACCCACAGUGGGCUGAUCAAGAAUAUGCCCUCAUAGACAAGCCUAAAUGUCCACCUGAUAAAGCCAUUGACUCCUUUCUGGUUCUCUCUUCUCAGAUGUGUCACCUUAACCAAAAUAACCAGCAGGUACCUUUCCUAUACAGCUCAUGCCCUCUUGCCCAUGGCCACAAUGCACAUCAUAGUGUUAGCAACCUUCAUCAAUAAGGAAUGUAAAAUGCUCCCUCAGACUCAUUUACAAGCCAAUCUGAGUCAUUUUCUGUUUUGAGGGAACCCAAUCUGUGAUGUCCCUAGAUGUGUGUAGUUGAUAACUAAGGAACCAACACUCACUUAGAAUUCUGAAUGUCAAAAUGCUACAGUGUUUCCCCACUUUAUUUGAUUGUAAGGAUUGUCUACUGACACCAGAACUUUUGCCUUCAUGUUCUAUCCUUUUCCAUAUUGUUUUGUACCUGUAUAAGUGUGUCUUAUGUUUGUGUACAACCCUAGUGUCAAAAUGUUUUCUAAAAGGCAGAAGAAGGCAAUAGUCCCUACAUACCAUGAAUAACAGGAACUGGUGUUUUCACACGAGUGCUGGUCAUCAAAAUCUGGACUACCAAAGACCAAAAUAUUUUUAACCCCCAAA